AAAAUAAGACGUACUACCAUCCUCUAUCUGACAGAAUUGUAGAACCAGAUAUUCAUCCCCUAACUGUUUAUCCCGAACCUAAUCAAUCCAAGUCGGCUUAACUUGCAACAUAGCUAGUAGACUCUCAUCAUCAAACAGACUUAAGCGAGCAAACAUCACUCUUAAAUCAGGCAUUUCUCUAUGACUAAUAGCAUCAACCACCAUAUUGGCCUUACCGGG
rnacentral:lncRNA from 1 species